rnacentral:rRNA from 1 species
AUUGAACGCUGGCGGCAGGCCUAGCACAUGCAAGUCGAGCGGUAGGGAGAAGCUUGCUUCUCUUGAGAGCGGCGGACGGGCGAGUAAUGCCUAGGAAUCUGCCUGGUAGUGGGGGAUAACGUUCGGAAACGGACGCUAAUACCGCAUACGUCCUACGGGAGAAAGCAGGGGACCUUCGGGCCUUGCGCUAUCAGAUGAGCCUAGGUCGGAUUAGCUAGUUGGUGGGGUAAUGGCUCACCAAGGCGACGAUCCGUAACUGGUCUGAGAGGAUGAUCAGUCACACUGGAACUGAGACACGGUCCAGACUCCUACGGGAGGCAGCAGUGGGGAAUAUUGGACAAUGGGCGAAAGCCUGAUCCAGCCAUGCCGCGUGUGUGAAGAAGGUCUUCGGAUUGUAAAGCACUUUAAGUUGGGAGGAAGGGCAGUAAAUUAAUACUUUGCUGUUUUGACGUUACCGACAGAAUAAGCACCGGCUAACUCUGUGCCAGCAGCCGCGGUAAUAC